UGCAGCCGGCGUAAGGAGCGACCCCACUCCCCCCCACCCCAGGGUGCAGCCGGCGUUUGCGGAUGAUGUGGAGGGAGCGGUGGCCGAGUCUCAGAGGAGGGUGCAACAGGGUCCCCACCGUGCAGGAGGACACUGAGAAGUUUGUGGUUGUUCUGUCAGGAUGGGCUCAGCUGGAGUGUGCUUUGAUCAGGAGGAAAGACCAAUUUUCAAACCUCAUCCAGACCCAUCACAGUCCAAGGAAAGCUGCUGGAGGGAUCAAGAGGAGGAGCUACAGAUGGACUGGAGUCACGUGGCCAUCACAGGACAGGGCUGACAAUUCCCCAGCUUGUCACAUCUUGCUCUGGGAAGUGAACAUCUCUGCAACUAAUUUCUCAAAACUUCAUCUGUUCUCCUUGUCUUAUAAUGCUGCGAAUUAAAUGUUUU